rnacentral:lncRNA from 1 species
UCAUCAGCUUGUCUAAUUCAUGGUCAACGAGCUAUAUUUGACAAAUAGUUGGACAUUGACAAUUAGAUUAAGUGCUAUAAAUUGGACUUCAUAGUUGAUGGAAUCAAAAAUAUGCAUAAGGACAUGUAGAUUGCCAAUGACAUACUGAAUCAUCUGCAAUAGUUGUGAGAUGAUCAGAGUCGUAUAGUGCAUGAGAUACGUGAUGGGUAGUUUGUCUAUGAUCGAUGAUCAAGGAUAUUGAAGAGCUUGAAAAGCUCAACAUGACCAUGCAUAAGAAAUUGCUAAUGGAUUUGAUCCUGCAAUCUCUAAUUCAUAGUUUGUGAAACUAUUAUAUGAAUAAAUAUUAUAGCACUUUAACUGAAUUAAUCAAUAUGCUGGUAAAUAAGGGAUCUUGAAAAGUUCAGAGGUACAUACUUGGAGAACCUAAAGAAUCAUUUACAUGCCUUCAGAAGGUAUGUCGAAUUGCUCAAAAUUGAUCUUACAAUUUUUUUUUCAUUAGAUUCUGAUGCAUGUUACGUAUUUUAAUAUAAGGUCUAA